GUACACUCCUACGGGAGGCAACAGUGGGGAAUAUUGCACAAUGGGCGCAAGCCUGAUGCAGCCAUGCCGCGUGUGUGAAGAAGGCCUUCGGGUUGUAAAGCACUUUCAGCGGGGAGGAAGGCAAUGCGGUUAAUAACCGUGUUGAUUGACGUUACCCGCAGAAGAAGCACCGGCUAACUCCGUGCCAGCAGCCGCGGUAAUACGGAGGGUGCAAGCGUUAAUCGGAAUUACUGGGCGUAAAGCGCACGCAGGCGGUCUGUCAAGUCGGAUGUGAAAUCCCCGGGCUCAACCUGGGAACUGCAUUCGAAACUGGCAGGCUUGAGUCUUGUAGAGGGGGGUAGAAUUCCAGGUGUAGCGGUGAAAUGCGUAGAGAUCUGGAGGAAUACCGGUGGCGAAGGCGGCCCCCUGGACAAAGACUGACGCUCAGGUGCGAAAGCGUGGGGAGCAAACAGGAUUAGAUACCCUAGUAGUCCCA
rnacentral:rRNA from 1 species